UUCCCUGAAGAACAAUGGAUAGCGCUUUGGACUUCUAAUCCAAAUCUCGUGGCUUCGAAUCCCAUCUGGGAUG